ACCUGACUGCUAUCGGAUUGAUACUAAGCCAUGCGAGUCAUUGUAGCAAUACAAGGCAUACGGCUCAGUAACGCGUAGUCAACCUAACCUAUGGACGGGAAUAACCUCGGGAAACUGAGAAUAAUGCCCGAUAGAACACUAUACCUGGAAUGGUUUGUGUUCCAAAUGAUUUAUCGCCAUAGGAUGGGACUGCGGCCUAUCAGUUUGUUGGUGAGGUAAUGGCCCACCAAGACUAUUACAGGUACGGGCUCUGAGAGGAGUAGCCCGGAGAUGGGUACUGAGACACGGACCCAGGCCCUAUGGGGCGCAGCAGGCGAGAAAACUUUGCAAUGUGCGAAAGCACGACAAGGUUAAUCCGAGUGAUUUCUGCUAAAGAGAUCUUUUGUUAGUCCUAGAAACACUAACGAAUAAGGGGUGGGCAAGUUCUGGUGUCAGCCGCCGCGGUAAAACCAGCACCUCAAGUGGUCAGGAUGAUUAUUGGGCCUAAAGCAUCCGUAGCCGGCUCUGUAAGUUUUCGGUUAAAUCUGUACGCUCAACGUACAGGCUGCCGGGAAUACUGCAAAGCUAGGGAGUGGGAGAAGUAGACGGUACUCGGUAGGAAGUGGUAAAAUGCUUUGAUCUAUCGAUGACCACCUGUGGCGAAGGCGGUCUACCAGAACACGUCCGACGGUGAGGGAUGAAAGCUGGGGGAGCAAACCGGAUUAGAUACCCGGGUAGUCCCAGCUGUAAACUAUGCAAACUCAGUGAUGCAUUGGCUUGUGGCCAAUGCAGUGCUGCAGGGAAGCCGUUAAGUUUGCCGCCUGGGAAGUACGUACGCAAGUAUGAAACUUAAAGGAAUUGGCGGGGGAGCACCACAAGGGGUGAAGCCCGCGGUUC
rnacentral:rRNA from 1 species